AGCGUUGGGGAAACAUGCUUAACUUCCAGCAGUCAUUCCCGCUCGCCUCCUUUCUCUUUGCUCGAGGUCUUCAGUUCAGGCUCCACAACUGGUUGAUGCUGUUUUCCUGUUAGUGUCUCCUUUUCAUCAUGCACGAUCCUCCAUAGUGAUGGAAUGGAGACAGCUUCUCAGAGAAAGCACAGCUUUGGAAGGUAAGUGCCGUUUGGAUGGUGAGACCAUCAGACCAAUUUAACUAGGCCAAGACUCUGAUCAAUGUUCUUAAACCUAUGUAACCCACUGCCACAGAGAUUUCAAAGUGAGGAAGGGUCCUGGAUGCCCAUUCAUCCAUUCUCAAUGAAUUAUUCAUUUGACCAGCACUUUCUGACUUUCUAGCUUCAGCCAGACACCGUACAAGGGACAGGGGAGACUGAGAUGAAGAACACUAGGUGCUUCUUCCCAAGGCACUCGCAGUCUCGGAGAAGACAGAUGUAUACUCACACAGAUGCAUAUGGUACAGCACUGUGUGAUGAUGCUAUACACGCACAAAGUGCCCGGGAACAGAGCAGCUGUCCCUGGCGACUCA
rnacentral:lncRNA from 1 species